ACCUGGCUGGCUCAGUUGGUAGAGCAUGGGACUGUUGAUCUCAAGGUCAUGAGUUCAAGCUUCACAUUGGGCA